rnacentral:rRNA from 1 species
GGGUUGUGAGGUUAAGCGACUAAGCGUACACGGUGGAUGCCCUGGCAGUCAGAGGCGAUGAAGGGCGUGCUAAUCUGCGAUAAGCGCCGGUAAGGUGAUAUGAACCGUUAUAACCGGCGAUACCCGAAUGGGGAAACCCAGUGUGAUUCGUCACACUAUCAUUAACUGAAUCCAUAGGUUAAUGAGGCGAACCGGGGGAACUGAAACAUCUAAGUACCCCGAGGAAAAGAAAUCAACCGAGAUUCCCCCAGUAGCGGCGAGCGAACGGGGAGGAGCCCAGAGCCUGAAUCAGCAUGUGUGUUAGUGGAAGCGUCUGGAAAGGCGCGCGAUACAGGGUGACAGCCCCGUACACAAAAGCGUAUGUGCUGUGAGCUCGAUGAGUAGGGCGGGACACGUGGUAUCCUGUCUGAAUAUGGGGGGACCAUCCUCCAAGGCUAAAUACUCCUGACUGACCGAUAGUGAACCAGUACCGUGAGGGAAAGGCGAAAAGAACCCCGGCGAGGGGAGUGAAAAAGAACCUGAAACCGUGUACGUACAAGCAGUGGGAGCACCCUUUGGGGUGUGACUGCGUACCUUUUGUAUAAUGGGUCAGCGACUUAUAUUCUGUAGC